AUUGAACGCUGGCGGAAUGCUUUACACAUGCAAGUCGAACGGCAGCACGGGGCAACCUGGUGGCGAGUGGCGAACGGGUGAGUAAUACAUCGGAACGUGCCCAAUCGUGGGGGAUAACGUAGCGAAAGUUACGCUAAUACCGCAUACGAUCUACGGAUGAAAGCGGGGGAUCGCAAGACCUCGCGCGAAUGGAGCGGCCGAUGUCAGAUUAGGUAGUUGGUGGGGUAAAGGCUCACCAAGCCAACGAUCUGUAGCUGGUCUGAGAGGGUGAACGGCCACACUGGAACUGAGAGACGGUCCAGACUCCUACGGGAGGCAGCAGUGGGGAAUAUUGGGCAAUGGGGGAAACCCUGACCCAGCGACGCCGCGUGAGGGAAGAAGGCCUUAGGGUCGUAAACCUCUGUUGUGUGGGAAGAAGAGCGUGACGGUACCACACGAGGAAGUCCCGGCUAACUACGUG
rnacentral:rRNA from 1 species